rnacentral:rRNA from 1 species
AUUAGAUACCCUGGUAGUCCACGCAGUAAACGAUGAAUGCUAGCUGUCCGGUACGAUUGAGGACUGGGUGGCACAGCGAAAGCGUUAAGCAUUCCACCUGGGGAGUACGCCGGCAACGGUGAAACUCAAAGGAAUUGACGGGGGCCCGCACAAGCGGAGGAACAUGUGGUUUAAUUCGAUGAUACGCGAGGAACCUUACCCGGGCUCAAACGCAGGCGGACGUAUGGCGAAAGCCGUAUUCCUUCGGGCCACCUGCGAGGUGCUGCAUGGUUGUCGUCAGCUCGUGCCGUGAGGUGUCGGCUUAAGUGCCAUAACGAGCGCAACCCCCAUCGACAGUUGCUAACAAGUAGCGUUGAGGACUCUGUCGAGACUGCCGGCGCAAGCUGUGAGGAAGGCGGGGAUGACGUCAAAUCAGCACGGCCCUUACGUCCGGGGCGACACACGUGUUACAAUGGCAGGUACAGCGGGAAGCCAUAUGGCGACAUAGAGCGGAACCCGAAAACCUGUCUCAGUUCGGAUUGGAGUCUGCAACCCGACUCCAUGAAGCUGGAUUCGCUAGUAAUCGCGCAUCAGCCACGGCGCGGUGAAUACGUUCCCGGGCCUUGUACACACCGCCCGUCAAGCCAUGGAAGCCGGGAGUGCCUGAAGUGCGUGAGCGCAAGCAGCGCCCUAAGGUAAAACCGGUGACUGGGGCUAAGUCGUAACAAGGUAAC